rnacentral:rRNA from 1 species
GACGAACGCUGGCGGCGUGCUUAACACAUGCAAGUCGUACGGUAAGGCCCUUUCGGGGGUACACGAGUGGCGCACGGGUGAGUAACACGUGAGUAACCUGCCCACAACUUUGGGAUAACGCUAGGAAACUGGUGCUAAUACUGGAUAUGUGCUCCUGCUGCAUGGUGGGGGUUGGAAAGCUCCGGCGGUUGUGGAUGGACUCGCGGCCUAUCAGCUUGUUGGUGGGGUAGUGGCCUACCAAGGCGGCGACGGGUAGCCGGCCUGAGAGGGUGACCGGCCACAGUGGGACUGAGAUACGGCCCAGACUCCUACGGGAGGCAGCAGUGGGGAAUAUUGAACAAUGGGCGCAAGCCUGAUGCAGCAACGCCGCGGGCGGGAUGACGGCCUUCGGGUUGUAAACCGCUUUCAGCAGGGACGAAGCUUUUUGUGACGGUACCUGCAGAAGAAGCACCGGCUAACUACGUG